rnacentral:rRNA from 1 species
GAUGAACGCUGGCGGCGUGCCUAAUACAUGCAAGUCGAGCGAACGGACGAGAAGCUUGCUUCUCUGAUGUUAGCGGCGGACGGGUGAGUAACACGUGGAUAACCUACCUAUAAGACUGGGAUAGCUUCGGGAAACCGUAGCUAAUACCGGAUAAUAUUUUGAACCGCAUGGUUCAAAAGUGAAAGACGGUCUUGCUGUCACUUAUAGAUGGAUCCGCGCUGCAUUAGCUAGUUGGUAAGGUAACGGCUUACCAAGGCAACGAUGCAUAGCCGACCUGAGAGGGGGAGCGGGCCACCCUGAAAGGAGAACCCGGCCCGACCUCCAAGGGGAGGCGGAAGAGGGAAAUCUUCCGAAAGGGGGAAAGGCCGACGGGGCAAACCCCGGGGGGGGAAUGAAGGUUUUCGGUUGGUAAAACUCUGUUUUAGGGAAAAAAAAAAUGUGAAAGUAACUGGGAACAUUUGGACGGUACCAAAUCAAAAAGCCACGGCAAACUACGU